UUAUGCAAACACACUCUUGAUAAAGUUGAGGUGAAUAAUUAUUAUGUACAUAAUAUUACAUAAUCAUGAAAUUUGAAACAUUUUUAUUAGUUACUACUUUAAAGUUUUACACGGUAAAAAAUGAAGAUGAACUACCACAAAUCGAGGACCUGUUUCCACAGAUAUCCAAAUCUGAAAUUGAGGAAAUAAAAAAUGUCGACAUUGACUUAGAAAGAAUAGAUAUGGACAAACUAACGAAAAGUAUGAGUGCACUUGAAGCAGAAAUUUUGGGAACAAAUGAGACAAGAAGGCAGAAUAUACCAAUGAUAACAAGGUGGCAGUUUAAGAGAGCUAGUAACAACAUAUUGAAAACGAAAGCUUUGGACAACGCUUUGCAGGUAAUAUACAUGACAAGACACAAAAUAAAGCUAAUGGAAAAGGAGAAGCAUUUCAACAACAAAGAUACUGGAUACCGCGUCGCGUUUUUAUACCGAAAGCUAAGAAGGCUUUGGCGUAAAAUGAUGGACCUGUUGACGAUGAUGAUAAAUAAAGUUAAUAACUGGAUCUGGUAUACUGAUUUGACGUUGGCUAUGAAGAUGCACCUGAAGGUGUUAAAAGUGUAUGAAGAUUUUCAGUAUUUGUACUGGGUGCUGAUUGGUUUGGACGGCAAGAACAUGUUCAGGCAGAGGACCACGACCACGAUUAAGACGACAGAGGAUGAGGACGCGACCAGGGGCCCUCGGACGAGGUCGACCAGGGCUAGACAGCAAACCGUAAACAUGAGCAAUAUGCACGAUGUGCGGCGAUCAUUAUUACAUAAGAAAUAAUUAUUA